CCUACGGGGUGCAGCAGUGGGGAAUAUUGCACAAUGGGGGAAACCCUGAUGCAGCGACGCCGCGUGAGCGAUGCAGUAUUUCGGUAUGUAAAGCUCUAUCAGCAGUGAAGAAAAUGACGGUACCUGACUAAGAAGCCCCUGCUAACUACGUGCCAGCAGCCGCGGUAAUACGUAGGGGGCAAGCGUUAUCCGGAUUUACUGGGUGUAAAGGGAGCGUAGACGGCGAUGCAAGUCAGAUGUGAAAGCCCGGGGCUCAACCCCGGGACUGCAUUUGGAACUGUAUAGCUGGAGUGUCGGAGAGGCAGGCGGAAGUACUAGUGUAGCGGGGAAAUGCGUAGAUAUUAGGAGGAACACCAGUGGCGAAGGCGGCCUGCUGGACGAUGACUGACGUUGAGGCUCGAAAGCGUGGGGAGCAAACAGGAUUAGAUACCCGGGUAGUC
rnacentral:rRNA from 1 species